rnacentral:rRNA from 1 species
GGGUAAGUUCCGACCUGCACGAAUGGUGUAACAAAGAGGGCACUGUCUCAACGAAAGACUCGGCGAAAUUGUGGUACCCGUGAAGACGCGGGUUGCAUGCGGCUAGACGAAAAGACCCCGUGGAACUUUACUGUAUCUUAACCUUGAAUUAUGGAGUUGGAUGCGUAGAAUAGGUGGGACGCUUUGAAACUUGGCUUUUGGGCUAGGUGGAGCGGAAAUGUGAAAUACCACCCUUUUAAUUCUGUGGUUCUAACUCUUAGGUUUGAAACAACCAAGAGGACAUGGUUAGGUGGGCAGUUUAACUGGGGCGGUUGCCUCCUAAAUAGUAACGGAGGCGUACAAAGGUAUCCUCAGGACCAAUAGAAAUGGUCCCAAGAGUGCAAGUGCAGAAGGGUGCUUAACUGCAAGACAGACAAGUCGAGCAGAUGCGAAAGCAGGUACUAGUGAUCCGGCGGUUCAGUGUGGAAUUGCCGUCGCUCAACGGAUAAAAGUUACCCCGGGGAUAACAGGCUUAUACCAUCCAAGAGUCCAUAUCGACGAUGGUGUUUGGCACCUCGAUGUCGGCUCAUCUCAUCCUGGGGCUGGAGCAGGUCCCAAGGGUUUGGCUGUUCGCCAAUUAAAGAGGUACGUGAGCUGGGUUCAGUACGUCGUGAGACAGUACGGUCUCUAUCUACCGUGUGCGCAGGAAAUUUGAGGGGGCUCGUUCUUAGUACGAGAGGACCGGAAUGAACAUACCUCUGGUGUUUCUGUUGUUCUGCCAAGAGCAUUGCAGAGUAGCCAAGUAUGGUUGAGAUAAACACUGAAAGCAUAUAAGUGUGAAACUUGCCCCAAGAUAAGAUUUCCCUGAAGACCACCCGUAGACUACGGGUUUGAUAGGCAAGAAGUGUAAGUACAGCAAUGUAUUCAGCUAACUUGUACUAAUCGGUCGUUUGGCUUGGUCAC